CCUACGGGUGGCAGCAGUGGGGAAUAUUGGACAAUGGGCGAAAGCCUGAUCCAGCCAUGCCGCGUGUGUGAAGAAGGCCUUCGGGUUGUAAAGCACUUUCAGUGGGGAAGAAAGCCUUGGGGCUAAUACCCUCGAGGAAGGACAUCACCCACAGAAGAAGCACCGGCUAACUCCGUGCCAGCAGCCGCGGUAAUACGGAGGGUGCGAGCGUUAAUCGGAAUUACUGGGCGUAAAGCGCGCGUAGGCGGUCUGAUAAGCCGGUUGUGAAAGCCCCGGGCUCAACCUGGGAACGGCAUCCGGAACUGUCAGGCUAGAGUGCAGGAGAGGAAGGUAGAAUUCCCGGUGUAGCGGUGAAAUGCGUAGAGAUCGGGAGGAAUCCCAGUGGCGAAGGCGGCCUUCUGGACUGACACUGACGCUGAGGUGCGAAAGCGUGGGUAGCAAACAGGAUUAGAUACCCUUGUAGUC
rnacentral:rRNA from 1 species